CCUACGGGAGGCAGCAGUGGGGAAUUUUGGACAAUGGGCGCAAGCCUGAUCCAGCCAUGCCGCGUGCAGGAUGAAGGCCUUCGGGUUGUAAACUGCUUUUGUACGGAACGAAAAGACUCUGGUUAAUACCUGGGGUUCAUGACGGUACCGUAAGAAUAAGCACCGGCUAACUACGUGCCAGCAGCCGCGGUAAUACGUAGGGUGCGAGCGUUAAUCGGAAUUACUGGGCGUAAAGCGUGCGCAGGCGGUUAUAUAAGACAGAUGUGAAAUCCCCGGGCUCAACCUGGGAACUGCAUUUGUGACUGUAUAGCUAGAGUACGGUAGAGGGGGAUGGAAUUCCGCGUGUAGCAGUGAAAUGCGUAGAUAUGCGGAGGAACACCGAUGGCGAAGGCAAUCCCCUGGACCUGUACUGACGCUCAUGCACGAAAGCGUGGGGAGCAAACAGGAUUAGAUACCCUGGUAGUCCACGCCCUAAACGAUGUCAACUGGUUGUUGGGUCUUCACUGACUCAGUAACGAAAGCUAACGCGUGAAAGUUGACCGCCUGGGGGNGGUAAGGCGCGAGUUAGUAAGUUAACAAAGAAGUUAGAGGCGNGAGAGNGCGACGGACGACGACGAGGGAGGAGG
rnacentral:rRNA from 1 species